CUUGCUUUUCUUUCUUUCUUUCUUUCCCCCCGUUUUUUCCAUCUUCUGUUUUCCCUCUAGUUUUCGCCUUCUCUUCCACCAUCCCGAAUUUUCACCUUCUCCAUUGAAGUGGUUUACGAGCUUUCUCACUCCAUUGAAGCAGCACCUCCUUGUCUCUCCAUAUCUCUGGCCUCCAUUGAACUCGUGCUCUAUAUUCUCCAUUGAAGUCGAUUCUGAGCUUUCUCACCUCCAUUGAAGCAGGUUCGAGGUAAUGUGGUCUUCUUAAUCUAUUGAAUUCCUUCGCAAUCUAGGGUUUGUCGUUGAUUUGGUUUUCAAUUUCAUAAUUUUAGGGUUCUUGUUUUAUUUCUCACCUCCAUUGUAGCAGCUUCGAGGUAAUGUGGUCUUCUUAAUCUACUAAAUUCCUUCGCAAUCUUAGGGUUCUGGUUUUAUUUCUUAUUUUUUUAAUUUAGUUUCAAUUAAUUAACCAUAAACCCUAAGUUUUUUAAUUUUAAUAUUUUUUAUUCUAUCAUUUGUAGGAAUUGUAGAUCUAGUUUGUUUGCUCCUCAAAAAAGAGUUCAAAUUCAAAGGAGGAAGCAAGAGCAGUAGGGCUGCUGAGAAGUGAGAAAAUGGCAAAUUUAGUUGGGUGUUGUUGUGAGGGUGAUGAGAGAUUGCUAGUUGCUGAGUUCAUGGCCAAUGAAACACUUUCUAAGCAUCUCUUUCACAGGGAAAAUCAGCCUUUGAAAUGGGCUAUGAGGUUGAGAGUGGCAUUGUGUUUAGCACAAGCCUUGGAAUAUUGUAGCAGUAAAGGAAGAUCAUUGUACCACCCCCACCUUAAUGCUUAUA